UACGAAACCUGCUAUCAUGACAACACACCCUGGAACCAAAACCCAGGGGCCAUCAUUACCAGACAGUGUACGGGAGGUCCGGUGUCAGGAGACAGGAUCAGGAUAACAACACCAUCAGGUGUUGUUCUAACACUGUGUGAAGUUCUCGUUUAUGUGUGUUCCGUUGGAUGGUAUGGUAACAUGUGUGGCCGACGAUGUGUGACGACGACAGCCUGUUCCAAAUGUGACGUCACAGGAACACGUUGUGCAGAAUGUGUCGCAGGUCGUAUGGGGG